CCGAUCUUAGCUCAGUUGGUAGAGCGGAGGACUGUAGUUGGAGUAUUUCCUAGCUGAAAUCCUUAGGUCGCUGGUUCGAAUCCGGCAGGUCGGA
rnacentral:tRNA from 1 species